UACGGGGGGGAGCAAGCGUUGUUCGGAUUUACUGGGCGUAAAGGGCGCGUAGGCGAUCAGCACAAGUCAGUUGUGAAAUCUCCGGGCUUAACUCGGAAAGGUCAACUGAUACUGUGCGACUAGAGUGCGGAAGGGGCAACUGGAAUUCUCGGUGUAGCGGUGAAAUGCGUAGAUAUCGAGAGGAACACCUGCGGCGAAGGCGGGUUGCUGGGCUGACACUGACGCUGAUGCGCGAAAGCCAGGGGAGCGAACGGG
rnacentral:rRNA from 1 species